UACGUAGGCAGCGAGCGUUGUUCGGAGUUACUGGGCGUAAAGGGCGUGUAGGCGGCCCUUUAAGUUUGGCGUGAAAUCUCCCGGCUCAACCGGGAGGGUGCGCCGAAAACUGGGGGACUAGAGUGCGGGAUGGGAGAGUAGAAUUCCUGGUGUAGCGGUGAAAUGCGUAGAUAUCAGGAGGAACACCAAUUGCGAAGGCAGCUCGCUGGAACGUAACUGACGCUGAGACGCGAAAGCGUGGGGAGCGAACAGG
rnacentral:rRNA from 1 species